rnacentral:rRNA from 1 species
UACAGAGGUGCCAAGCGUUAGGCGGAAUCACUGGGCUUAAAGCGCGUGUAGGCGGCCCGGUAAGUCCGCUGUGAAAGUCGGGGGGCUCAACCCUCGGAUGCCGGUGGAUACUGUCGGGCUAGAGUGCGGAAGAGGCGAGUGGAAUUCCUGGGUGUAGCGGUGAAAUGCGCAGAUAUCAGGAGGAACACCAAUUGCGAAGGCAGCUCGCUGGGACGUGACUGACGCUGAGACGCGAAAGCGUGGGGGAGCAAACAGG